GAACUUCGCCAAACUUCGGGUGGGCGUCGUGUGCGCCACAUACAUGCAGUUCAAAGGCAGAGAGUCGGCAGCGACUUGAUUUAUAUUUUCCGCUACUUGUCAAUAUGAUGGCCCGUUGUAAAUAAAUGAGGCCUGGCCAUCACUUAUACUUGGGAACUACUUUUCAGUGAUAGCUGUAUUGACUAAGGGAACUACGGCGGGCUUAUGCCUACUGAACUAUAUUCGAAACUAUCAGAGUGUAUAGCAGAUUAGAGCAGAUUACAGCAACCUUAAAGGUAAAAUGAUCUGACCAUUUUUUUCACAAUACACAGGUAGUACAUAGUAAUA